CAGUAGCCGCGGGAAUACGAAGGGUGCAAGCGUUACUCGGAAUUACUGGGCGUAAAGCGUGCGUAGGUGGUGGUUUAAGUCCGUUGUGAAAGCCCUGGGCUCAACCUGGGAAUUGCAGUGGAUACUGGGUCACUAGAGUGUGGUAGAGGAUAGUGGAAUUUCCGGUGUAGCAGUGAAAUGCGUAGAGAUCGGAAGGAACAUCUGUGGCGAAGGCGACUAUCUGGGUUAACACUGACACUGAGGCACGAAAGCGUGGGGAGCAAACAGGAUUAGAUACCCCAGUAGUCCCUGUCUCUUAUAC
rnacentral:rRNA from 1 species